AUACAAAUCACUUGGGGGGUUUUGUUAAAAUGCAGGUUCUCAGUCAGGAGGUCUAGAAUGGGGCCUGAGACUCUGCAUUUCUAACAGAGCUCCCAGGUGAUGCUGAA
rnacentral:pre_miRNA from 1 species